rnacentral:lncRNA from 1 species
AGGGGAUAAAGAUGGGUUCUAAUCUCUCAAUUUUACUUCUUCUUCGAUCAAACAGAACUACUUCUUUUUUCUGGGUGUAAGCAUCAAGAAAAUGGCGAAAUGAUGGUGGCGAGAGUAAAAUUGGCAAAUGAGUACAGAUAUUCCUAUGCUUCUUGAAUCAAUUUUCGUAUGCCACUGUUAGUAUUCAGCAUCAAAUAGCCGAUUCCAAUCCCGGACAAUGAAAGUGCAUUGCAGUAGGUUGAUGACCAGGUUCAAUUGGGAAUUUUAGUCUAUGCUACUGUUCACAAUCUCAGUCAGUUCUCUUUCUCUCCUUAUUUGUAUUUUUUUGAAUUUCCGUUGAACUAAUAUUUCUGUAUCACCAUCCAUGACUUUGGAUCCUUUACAACCUUGUUUAAUUAUAUGUGAUCUCUAAAUUUAUUUAAUUUACAUUUAAACCAACCUGGUUAGGUAGUUUCCAACACUUUCUCCUCUAAAUAUCGGAAAGGUUUGAUUCCUUGAAAUGCACAUGUCAGCAUUCAGUUUUUUUAAUCGACAUUCAGUUCACUAGCCACGAAUAUGGUUCUUUGCUC